rnacentral:tRNA from 1 species
GAGGGUAUAGCUCAGUGGUAGAGCACGUGCUUAGUAUACAUGAGGUCCCGGGUUCCAUCCCCAACAUCUCCA